GACAGAGGGUGCAAACGUUGUUCGGAAUCACUGGGCGUAAAGGGUGCGUAGGCGGGUCUUUAAGUCAGGGGUGAAAUCCUGGAGCUCAACUCCAGAACUGCCUUUGAUACUGAAGAUCUUGAGUUCGGGAGAGGUGAGUGGAACUGCGAGUGUAGAGGUGAAAUUCGUAGAUAUUCGCAAGAACACCAGUGGCGAAGGCGGCUCACUGGCCCGAUACUGACGCUGAGACGCGAAAGCUAGGGGAGCGAACAGG
rnacentral:rRNA from 1 species